UGAAGUUGAAAAACAAAGUGUGCAGUGGGUGAGAGAGAGCUGCAUUUGUAGCACUAAAUACUAUGAAUGUAUCACCAGAUGUCCAGGUAGUGAGGGGGUGGAGAAGGAUUUAAUUGGAAAAGAUGACACAAAAACUAGGCCUUGAUGGUUACAUAGGAAGUUAGCUGAGUAACAGUUACUGUAUAUUCUGAGAACUGCUCUUCUCUUGCCCACACCCUCCACCAAGGGUUUUGCCCUUGACAGGCAUGUUGUUACGUUUACAUCCUCUCCGUUGGCCAUAAAUAAACCCCUGAUCCAAACUGCUCCAGAUGUUCUCUCCCAGGAAUUAGGAAUUUGGACUUAAUCAGUCCAGACAGGCACCAUUUGAACUGAAGGGUGUAAAUUCAGGGAAUAUGUGUCAGCCAUUCUCUGUUAUCUAAAUGUAGGGGCUGAGAAAGCCAGGCUGGGAAGAUGGAUUUAAAAAAUGACACCCAGAGAGAAGCAGAGGUAAGACAUGAAAAGCAAGUACUCCUGAGUUACUGGUAGCUUUCUCAUUCCUGCCACCACACCAAGCAGUCCUGUAUUUUGUAAAACACUCCAGUAUCCUUCUAAUAAAAUUUCACUUUCGGCUUCAGUGAAAACAAACAAACAAAGCAAACAAACAACAACAAAGGGAAACAAGGGAUAGACGGUUGUGAGAGAAAUGGGAAUAGAUAGUCCAGCUGGGAGCUGCCAUUACAAGGGUGCAAAAAUGUUAGAAUUGAGCAGUACUUUAUUUAGUUGAAUAUAAAUUCAUGUUUUUUGUAUUUACUACAGUAUUGGAGUCAAGAUUAUCAAAUGUAUAUUCUCAUUAGAGAAAAUCUAACAAAAUCACUCAAUUCAUAAUACAGCAACCUCCAGACCUGAAUGAGUUUGAUGAGAAAGCAUGGGAAGAAAUGCCAGGUCUAUCAGGAGAAAACAGCAAAAUGCGAUAAGCUUUCAAUUGGCCUGGAAGGACACUGUGGCCCUGGGACAGAUGGACAGCCAUUCCUGCUGGUCUAUGUUGCUGACACUGUCGGUCUGACAUUGGAGCUGUUCUGUCAACUGUGGAUUCUGCUGCCUGCAGUUCCCGAGUAGGCCUGGGGCUACAGCUAGGUGGCAGCAGGAUUGAGCUCAGCGGCUUUUCCGUUGAAGUGCAUGGCAGCUUCCAAGUUUUCCACUUUGCUCAACUCAGUGUUUUGGUUUUGAAGCAUUCUACCUGGCUCAGUCCUUCUUGGAAGGUGGGUUCCCUCUGGGUUUCUCAGGUCCUGGGGCAUCUCCUUGCCUGACUCAACCUUCUCAUCUAUUUCUAGAAGAUUUGGAGGAAGUAUGAGAUUACUGCCUUCCAAUAUCAUCCCCAAAGCAGUCACUGUCUUGGAGCACACUGAGUGUACAAGAAUGUACACUCUUGUGCUUUUGAAAAGGAUACUAAUUUAAAUAGCUGAGAUAAACGCAUUGCUAGAAGAAUUAAGGUAGUAUAUCCUGAAAAAUCUGUUUUACUGUUAUCUUCAUCCUCAUUGGUAUUCAUUCAGAUUCUUUGCUCUGUAGAAGCAAACCUUAAUGGGUUUUGUAUGACCAAGGGACAUUUGGGAUUUGUGGGCACAGUUUUGGUUUUCACAAUGAUGGAGGGACACCAAUAGCACUUAGUGGCCAACAGCCAGGGAUGAUAGCCAUAUGGCAAUACAAGAAUAGUUUGGCACAAGAAGAGAUUUCUCGCAUAACUUUGAAAUAUUUUGCUUAACAUUCAUAUACUCGAAAUACCUAUUUAUAAUUAUCUGAACUUAGAAUCUCAUGCUGUUUUAUACAUAAACAAAAAAGUAUUUAGAGCAUGUUUCUAAAUAUACCAGAUUUUCUAGGAAUGCCACUACAGUGUAAAUGGAAGUGUAAAUUUAUGUGUAUGUUUGUUUUUAUUACUAGGAAUUUAAUCCCAAAAUACUCUGGGAAUUACACUAUUUCCCUAGCUUAAAGUCUAGACUAGAAUUAGUCUCAGUGGCGUUUUUCCUGAUCUUGUUCCUCAGAGCACCCUUCCCUGUUGGCAAAGAGGCAAAGAAUCUCCACUCAAGUAAAAGGCUAUUGCUCCCUAAGGUUUAGAGAAGAGCUGCUACACAUUCGCCACCCCAGGUGCCCUUUCCCUGGUUAUGCUAGGAUCUUACAAAAGGACCUCCCAAGAAGAGGUAAUCACAAACUCAUCUUUGCCAUACCAGCCUAAGGGGAACGGAAGCAAUUUAGAAAGAGGGGCGAAUCCAAACAGAGAGCAUGCCACACAGCAGAGCUUGUAACCCCUUAGUUCCUCCCUGGGAAAGUCCUUCCAACACAAUGGCCUACUUUGUCCCUCUAUCAAUACUGAGAAAGAGAGGCUUAGGGCCAAUUUUAUGACAUAUACUGAAUACUUUCAAUAAUUUACCAGAACUAUUUUUCUUUGUGAUUUUUAACCUCGUUUGAGAUAAUUUUCUCAAAAGGGGAAAUAAGCAAUUAUAACCUAAUAAUUACUAUAGACUUCAGAUGCACAUUUAUUACUAGGAUGUUAGAACUGUACAUUUUAAUCUUUGUAGGACUGUAGCAUGUGAAGUUCUUCUAAUAUUACAUGAAUUACUAUAUUAGAAAAAAUAAUCUACUAGUAUAUAUCAGUGUAUUGAAUACUUUAUGCUAAAACAUUUAAAUUUUUCUCACUAAAAGUUUACUGUAAAUCGGUGCUCUAUUUAUUUCAUUAUAUUUUUUCUCUAUCCUAACUUACAAUCUGUCCACAACCAUUUUUAUUGAUUUUCAAUAAAAGGGUGUUCUAACACA
rnacentral:lncRNA from 1 species